rnacentral:tRNA from 1 species
CAGGACAGUAGUUUAAUCUUAUAAAAUAUUGGCAUUGGAAGCCAAAGAUUGGAUGAAAGUUCCACUUCCUGA